GGCCUUGACAUACUAAGAACUUUCCAGAGAUGGAUUGGUGCCUUCGGGAACUUAGAUACAGGUGCUGCAUGGCUGUCGUCAGCUCGUGUCGUGAGAUGUUGGGUUAAGUCCCGNAACGAGCGCAACCCUUUUCCUAUUUGCCAGCGGGUCAUGCCGGGAACUUUAAGGAUACUGCCAGUGACAAACUGGAGGAAGGCGGGGACGACGUCAAGUCAUCAUGGCCCUUACGGCCAGGGCUACACACGUGCUACAAUGGUCGGUACAAAGGGUUGCUACCUCGCGAGAGGAUGCUAAUCUCAAAAAGCCGAUCGUAGUCCGGAUCGCAGUCUGCAACUCGACUGCGUGAAGUCGGAAUCGCUAGUAAUCGCGGAUCAGAAUGCCGCGGUGAAUACGUUCCCGGGCCUUGUACACACCGCCCGUCACACCAUGGGAGUUUGUUGCACCAGAAGUAGGUAGUCUAACCGCAAGGAGGACGCUUACCACGGUGUGGCCGAUGACUGGGGUGAAGUCGUAACAAGGUAAGCGUAGAUGA
rnacentral:rRNA from 1 species